CAGAGCUGCAAACAGGGAAUGAAUUUGUCAGGACAUGAGUAAGCCCUCUUAGCUGCGUAUGGCAUUAGUUCUCUUCACCAGAUGGAAGCUGUUGUGCCUCAGAAUGCUCUCAUGAAGGACACAGGUGAAGUGUAUUUUUCAGAUAUAAAGCCAAGCAGUCAUCUGCUUAAAAAUAGGUGUUCAGCACUGAUUUUUACUGCCAACAAUUCCUGCAGGCUAAAAAAGGGAGAAGAUUGAAGCAGAGCAAGAGAUUCAUUUUGUUGUGGUGUUUGGUUUAUCAGAAAAAGGAGAAACCCAGCUCUGAAGUUGUACUCUCGAAAUACAUUGACUGUUCUCUGAAACUGAAAUGUGGAAUUUGUGAUGGAGAGGCUACAAAAAGAAGGCUGGAAAUACAGACUGCUUUGUAAUUGAUUGUUUCUUGAAGAGCUGAAUUUACAUUUUGCAAGGGUGAUAAAAGUUCAUCUGUCACUUGAAUGUGAGGCAAUAAAGGUGAGGUGAUAGCUUCAGAACUGAUCAGAACUGAAAACAACUUUGAAAUUUGGCAAAAAGAAGUCAAUUGUCAGGAGCAUUGCGUUGUGACACUGUAGUUAUGACUGAGAAACCUGUAAAUUAAGAAAAGGCAGAACAAAUGAAUAGGCAGAAUUCAGAAUCAGCUCAGUCGAGUACAAGAUAAAGAAACACAUUCACCAUGACAAGAACUGACAGUCAGCACAAGGCCCUGCAUUAAGGAUGAAUUUGUGUAGUAUUUAUGACCACUGGGAGUUAAUAGCGGACAGAGAUUUAAUCAGAAAGAGCUGAUGGAGUCUUUAACAGAAAUCAUUCUUUCAGAAGGCUGAGUUUUAUGACAAACUUGUCCCCUCAUCUUUGAUUGCUGCAGUUAAUUAGAUGCUGUAGCACAGUGGGGAUGUGGUGGGCACUGGCUGGGUAGAAAGCAUUGAGAAAAGAUUAAAAUGCAUCAGAA